GACGAACGCUGGCGGUGUGCUUAACACAUGCAAGUCGAACGGUAAGGCCCUUUCGGGGGUACACGAGUGGCGAACGGGUGAGUAACACGUGAGUAACCUGCCCUCAUCUCUGGGAUAACAGUCGGAAACGGUUGCUAAUACUGGAUAUGAGCUUGCAAGGCAUCUUGUGGGUUGGAAAGAUUUUUUUGGUUGGGGAUGGACUCGCGGCCUAUCAGCUUGUUGGUGAGGUAGUGGCUCACCAAGGCUUCGACGGGUAGCCGGCCUGAGAGGGCGACCGGCCACAUUGGGACUGAGAUACGGCCCAAACUCCUACGGGAGGCAGCAGUGGGGAAGAUUGCACAAUGGACGGAAGUCUGAUGCAGCAACGCCGCGUGCGGGAUGACGGCCUUCGGGUUGUAAAACGCUUUCAAUUGUGACGAAGCUUUUUGUGACGGUAGCAGUAGAAGAAGCACCGGCUAACUACGUG
rnacentral:rRNA from 1 species